rnacentral:lncRNA from 1 species
UACAAAUGUAGGAUCAACAGGACUUGGCACCAGGUUGGAUAUGAAGGAUGAGAGAGCAAGGAGUCCAAGAUGAUACCUGAGGUAAAAACCUAGAGAGAAGAAAAUAUUAAGAAGAGAUUAAGAAGAUGAUUGACAAUGUCAAAGUCAGCAAAGAGGCCAAGAAGGAUGAAGACUGAGAAAAGGGAAAUAUGUGACAAGGUUCUUAGCUAAGAGGGUGGUAGGGUGGUGGAGAAGGAGCCGUAAGAAGUUGGAAGAAGAAUGAAAAGCUUUGGAAGAACAACUGUGAUUGAAGAUUUGAUGGUGACAAAGAAAGAAUUAACAAAAAACCUAAUAAAGAAACCAGAAUGAUGUGCAUGAUAUUUUCCUCUGG